UACAGAGGGUGCAAGCGUUGUUCGGAAUUAUUGGGCGUAAAGCGUGCGCAGGCGGUUUGACAAGACAGGCGUGAAAUCCCCGGGCUUAACCUGGGAAUGGCGCUUGUGACUGUCAGGCUAGAGUAUGUCAGAGGGGGGUAGAAUUCCACGUGUAGCAGUGAAAUGCGUAGAGAUGUGGAGGAAUACCGAUGGCGAAGGCAGCCCCCUGGGACGUCACUGACGCUCAUGCACGAAAGCGUGGGGAGCAAACAGG
rnacentral:rRNA from 1 species